rnacentral:misc_RNA from 1 species
AACGCAUAUUGCGCCCGAAGCUUCGGCUUAGGGCAUGCCUGCCUCAGCGUCAGAAGAGAACCGUCGCUCCACAGUGAAGCAAUUUGGAAAGAUCCAUUUGCUUGGGAGCGGAUCUGACUCUCCCAUGGUUUACGUGGCCAUGGGUUAGUUGAAACACAGAGCAUGAGCAAGGAACACAUACGCUCCAACUGGACAGGUUCGCAUACCAUGCGCAACACGAAGUUGAAGCGUGAUCUUUGCAAGUGCCAAGCAGGACGCCAUUCAUUUGGUAUGUUUGACCUGAGCUCAGGCAAGAUUACCCGCUGAACUUAA